UCGAAUAAAAUUAUAGAUAUAAAACUGAUUAUGACAAUUUCAUAUCUAAGUGUCUUGACUAAAUUACGUGCCAGCAGUCGCGGUAAUACGUAGUAGACUAGUGUUAUUCAUCUUUAUUAGGUUUAAAGGGUACCUAGACGGCAUUAUUAGCCUAUAUAAGGUACGGUAUUGCUAGAGUUUUAUUUAAGAAGGGGAGUAUUCAUGGAGUAGAGAUGAAAUUUAUUGAUACCAUGACGACUGAUAAUGGCGAAAGCAACCUUCUAUGUAAUAACUGACGUUGAGGGACGAAGGCUCGGGUAACGAACAGGAUUAGACACCCUAGUAGUCCAAGCAGAAAAUUAUGAAUGCCAUAUAUAAAUGAAAGUGUAAGCAUUCCACCUUAAGAGUAAUGCGGCAACGCAGACCUGAAAUCAUUAGACCGUUCUGAAACCAGU
rnacentral:rRNA from 1 species